rnacentral:rRNA from 1 species
AACGAACGCUGGCGGCGUGCCUAACACAUGCAAGUCGAACGCGAACGGGUCUUCGGACCCUAGUAGAGUGGCGCACGGGUGAGUAACACGUGGGCAAUCUACCCAGGGAUUUGGGAUAACCAGGGGAAACCCUGGCUAAUACCGAAUACGUCCAUGAGGCCUUCGGUCCUCAUGGAGAAAGGUGGCCUCUUCUCGAAAGCUGCCGUUCCUGGAUGAGCCCGCGGACCAUUAGCUUGUUGGUGAGGUAACGGCUCACCAAGGCCAUGAUGGUUAGCUGGUCUGAGAGGAUGAUCAGCCACACUGGGACUGACACACGGCCCAGACUCCUACGGGAGGCAGCAGUGGGGAAUCUUGCGCAAUGGGGGAAACCCUGACGCAGCAACGCCGCGUGGGUGAUGAAGGCCCUUGGGUCGUAAAGCCCUGUCUGGAGGAAAGAAUCCCGCUCUCGCUAAUACCGGGAGUGGAUGACGGUACCUCUGAAGGAAGCACCGGCUAACUCCGUG